GAUGAACGCUGGCGGCGUGCCUAAUACAUGCAAGUCGAGCGAACGGACGAGAAGCUUGCUUCUCUGAUGUUAGCGGCGGACGGGUGAGUAACACGUGGAUAACCUACCUAUAAGACUGGGAUAACUUCGGGAAACCGUAGCUAAUACCGGAUAAUAUUUUGAACCGCAUGGUUCAAAAGUGAAAGACGGUCUUGCUGUCACUUAUAGAUGGAUCCGCGCUGCAUUAGCUAGUUGGUAAGGUAACGGCUUACCAAGGCAACGAUGCAUAGCCGACCUGAGAGGGUGAUCGGCCACACUGGAACUGAGACACGGUCCAGACUCCUACGGGAGGCAGCAGUAGGGAAUCUUCCGCAAUGGGCGAAAGCCUGACGGAGCAACGCCGCGUGAGUGGUGAAGGUCCUCGGAUCGUAAAACUCUGUUAUUAGGGAAGAACAUAUGUGUAAGUAACUGUGCACAUCUUGACGGUACCUAAUCAGAAAGCCACGGCUAACUACGUG
rnacentral:rRNA from 1 species